GCUAUUCCAAAUUUUGACCUUAAUGUACUUUUUUGGUCCUUUUCGUGAUAUUUGCUAUAUUACAGGGCAAAAAUUAUAUGAUCGGACAUUGUUUUCGAAUAUUUUGCAUGUAUCAAAGCUCUUAUAAACAAGAUAUGGUAUUCCUACAUGGCUGGUGUGACCCACGACAAAUGGAUCAUAAAGUCUUAAAAAA
rnacentral:sRNA from 1 species